rnacentral:rRNA from 1 species
GACGAACGCUGGCGGCGUGCUUAACACAUGCAAGUCGAACGGAAAGGCCUGCUUUCCCUUGUGGAUUGCGGGUACUCGAGUGGCGGACGGGUGAGUAACACGUGAGUGAUCUGCCCCCAACUUGGGUAUAAGCCUGGGAAACUGGGUCUAAUUCCCGAUAGGACUGCAGGGUGGUGCCUGUGGUGGAAAACGAUUUUCUAGUGGUUGGGGAUGAGCUCGCGGCCUAUCAGCUUGUUGGUGGGGUAAUGGCCUACCAAGGCGGCGACGGGUAGCCGGCCUGAGAGGGUGGACGGCUACAUUGGGACUGAGAUACGGCCCAGACUCCUACGGGAGGCAGCAGUGGGGAAUAUUGCACAAUGGGCGGAAGCCUGAUGCAGCGACGCCGCGUGGGGGAUGACGGCCUUCGGGUUGUAAACUCCUUUCGACCGCGAGGAAGCCACCUGGUUGGAAGGGUGGUGACGGUAGUGGUAGAAGAAGCACCGGCUAACUACGUG